AGUAACACGUGGGCAAUCUGCCCUGCACUUCGGGAUAAGCCUGGGAAACUGGGUCUAAUACCGGAUAGGACCUUUAGACGCAUGUCUUUUGGUGGAAAGCUUUUGCGGUGUGGGAUGGGCCCGCGGCCUAUCAGCUUGUUGGUGGGGUGAUGGCCUACCAAGGCGACGACGGGUAGCCGGCCUGAGAGGGUGUCCGGCCACACUGGGACUGAGAUACGGCCCAGACUCCUACGGGAGGCAGCAGUGGGGAAUAUUGCACAAUGGGCGCAAGCCUGAUGCAGCGACGCCGCGUGGGGGAUGACGGCCUUCGGGUUGUAAACCUCUUUCACCAUCGACGAAGGUUCGGGUUUUCUCGGAUUGACGGUAGGUGGAGAAGAAGCACCGGCCAACUACGUGCCAGCAGCCGCGGUAAUACGUAGGGUGCGAGCGUUGUCCGGAAUUACUGGGCGUAAAGAGCUCGUAGGUGGUUUGUCGCGUUGUUCGUGAAAUCUCACGGCUUAACUGUGAGCGUGCGGGCGAUACGGGCAGACUAGAGUACUGCAGGGGAGACUGGAAUUCCUGGUGUAGCGGUGGAAUGCGCAGAUAUCAGGAGGAACACCGGUGGCGAAGGCGGGUCUCUGGGCAGUAACUGACGCUGAGGAGCGAAAGCGUGGGGAGCGAACAGGAUUAGAUACCCUGGUAGUCCACGCCGUAAACGGUGGGUACUAGGUGUGGGUUUCCUUCCUUGGGAUCCGUGCCGUAGCUAACGCAUUAAGUACCCCGCCUGGGGAGUACGGCCGCAAGGCUAAAACUCAAAGGAAUUGACGGGGGGCCCGCACAA
rnacentral:rRNA from 1 species